CCUGCAAAAUCAAUGUAUAGGAGGUCUUACCUGCCCAGUGACAAGUUUAACGGCCGCGGUAUUUUGACCGUGCGAAGGUAGCGCAAUCACUUGUCUUUUAAAUGAAGACCUGUAUGAAUGGUGGAACGAGGGCUUAACUGUCUCCCCUCUCAAGUCAAUGAAAUUGAUCUGCCCGUGCAGAAGCGGACAUAUAAAUACAAGACGAGAAGACCCUUUGGAGCUUUAGAUAAAAGAUCACCUAUGUUAAGGACCUAGACAAGUCAAACCAAAUAGAAAUUGAUCCUAAUCUUUUGUUGGGGCGACCACGGGAAAAAAUAAAGCUCCCACGAGGAUUGGGCCACACCCCAAAACCAAGAGAGACAUUUCCAAGUCACAGAACAUCUGACCAUAAAGAUCCGGCCACCCGCCGACCAACGGACCAAGUUACCCUAGGGAUAACAGCGCAAUCCCCUUCCAGAGUCCAUAUCGACAAGGGGGUUUACGACCUCGAUGUUGGAUCAGGACAUCCUAAUGGUGCAGCCGCUAUUAAGGGUUCGUUUGUUCAACGAUUAAAGUCCUACGUGA
rnacentral:rRNA from 1 species